rnacentral:rRNA from 1 species
CAGGUGGUAUGGGUAAGUCUGUCAUUAAAUGCCUGUGCUCAACAUAGGCGCUGUGAUGGAAACUAUCAUACUAGAGGAAAGGAGAGGUAUGCGGAAUAGUGCAAGUAGGGGUAAAAUCCGUAGAUAUGCACUGGAACACCAAAAGCGAAGGCAGCAUACUGGCCUUUUCCUGACACUCAGGGACGAAAGCGUGGGGAGCAAAACGGAUUAGAUACCCGUGUAGUCCACGCCGUAAACGAUGCAUGCUCGGUGUGGGGACCCUCGACCUGGUCCCCGUGCCCAAGGUAACCCGUUAAGCAUGCCGCCUGUGUAGUACGGCCGCAAGGCUAAAACACAAAGGAAUAGACGGGGGCCCACACAAGCGGUGGAUCGUGGGGUUUAAUUCGAUAAUAAGCGAGUAACCUUACCUAGACUUGACAUCCCUAUCAUACCCCUCAGAGAUGAGGGGGUCGGUUCGGCCGGAUAGGUGACAGGCGCUGCAUGGUUGUCGUCAGCUCGUGCCUUGAGGUGUUCGGUUAAGUCCGUUAACGAGCGCAACCCUGGUCGUGUGUUGUAUUUUCACGCGAGACUGCCGGUUUUAAGCCGGAGGAAGGUCAGGAUGACGUCAAAUCAGCAUGGCCCUUAUGUCUAGGGCUACACCCGCGAUACAAUGGCUGGUACAAACCGAAGCAAUACAGCGAUGUGGAGCCAAUCGGAACAACACCAGUCUCAGUUCGGAUUGCAGUCUGAAACUCGACUGCAUGAAGCCGGAAUCGCUAGUAAACGUAUAUCAGUCACGGUACGUUGAAUAUGUUCCUGGGCCUUGUACUCACCGCCCGUCAAGGCAUGGAAGUUGGGAGCACCAGAAG